AAGACCAUCAGAAGGCCAUAGCAGAGAUGGCCUGGGCUAUGGAGGUGUCCUGGAGGACAUGAGAAACAAGUUGGAGGGUUACACUGGCAAGCACGUGGAGAUGUUAGGAAUCAGAUGUGUGAUGGGAGCAAGCAGGGGUAAAGCUGGAAAACUGGCAGCUCUCAUUGACAAGUAGAUGGGUGAUAUUGGCAAGCAAAGGAGUCACCUCAUGAAGCAAGUGGUGGUAUGUACACACAGAAAAAGAAAAAACGAAGCCACAGAAGCAGAGAGAGGAUGAGCUAAUUCAGAAGAUCCACAGACUGGUGCAGAAGAGAGACUUCCUGGUGGACGAUGCAGAGGUGGAAUGGUUAAGGGAGCAAGAAGAAGACAAGGAAAUGGCUGAUUUCCUGAGAAUCAAGUUAAAACCUCUAGAUAAAGUAACCAAAUUUCCAGCCAGUGAGUGUAUACAUUAUUCCUUCUCUUCCUCCAAUUCAAGAGAAAAAGAAAUUUAAAAGAGGUUUGGGAGCAAGAGAGGGCACAAGAAAUGCUUUCUAGAGGUUAAACGUGGGCACCGAUGGCAGCUGGCAAGGCCAGCCUUAUGGGUGUAUGACUUGUGCAACUGCCCCGGGGCCCCCUGCCUAGAAGGGCACUGUGUUUGCUUUGAUGCUCUGCUUUUGCUAUCUUGAAAUUCUUACUAAUUUUGGAAAAAGGGGCCUCAUAUUUUCAUUUUGCACUGGAUUCUGCAAACUGUGUAGCUGAUCCUGGCAGCAACUGUCACUUUCUAACCACAGGUUUGGUGUAUUUCAUAGAAGUAGCUGGUUGGCCCCUGAGGCAAGAAGGUGGGGGCUAAGGAUCAGGGAGCUCUGGCCUCUGGUGGAGCUGGAGUCUCUGGGGGACUCUAAUUCUCCAGAAUUACGCUUUUCAGAAUAUUAGCCUUACAAGGUACUCAGAGCAAAAAGGGUUCCAGGUGAAAUAAGGGUUCCAUUAGAAAAUGCUGUAUAUUUGACCCUCUAUUUAGGAGGGUCCCUCUAUUAGGAGGGACUCUAUUUGGAAGGUCUGUUCACAUAUUAAAGUG